AAAAAGUCAAACAGGCCACACAUUGAUAGUCAAGCCGGUUUCACAUUUCAUCGCUAACAUGUACAUUACCGCGGGCGGGUGAUGACAGUCAGCAAUACACGUGUCAUAAUCGCGAAAGAGUGAAUACCUUGCUUCGUGGUAAAGAUAUUUUCAUAUAUACGGGUAUUGAAAGUGGGACGAAACGUCCAAUGCCCUCCUACACAACACAAAUAUACCAGUGGCACAAACUGGUAGUGGCACGGAAAGUCCAUCACCCGACCUGGCUAAGAGGUAUGAGAAGAAUCACUCAGACAGAAAAGGACAGGAGACAUUCUAAAAACAUUGGCCGGCAAGUCUUCUUUGAUAAUUUCGUUGGAAAACAAACCACUGCGGAGUACAGAUGCAAUGGGAUGAAGUGCACAUAACGACGGCUCAAUGCUUUCCACUCCAAUUAUGGACGAGUCCAUCUAAGUGAUCGACACAAAGAAGAAAAUAACAAACACUCUUUAUUACUGGGCAAUGUCGGUUUGGACCUCAGAGGCAUGAAUACUCUCUAUGAUGGUUUAUACUUACUGGUUUGUUCGAUAUAAGAAGACAUGGCGAUGAUGCAGAAAAUGGUAUUGAUGCAGCUGCUAUUUCCAG